CGGUCGCGGAGAGCAGAGACGCACUCCUUCAGUUCGGCUGGACCGGAGACAGGUGCUGCAUGGCUGUCGUCAGCUCGUGUCGUGAGAUGUUGGGUUAAGUCCCGCAACGAGCGCAACCCUCGCCCUUAGUUGCCAUCAUUUAGUUGGGCACUCUAAGGGGACUCCCGGUGAUAAGCCGGAGGAAGGUGGGGAUGACGUCAAGUCCUCAUGCCCCUUACGGGCUGGGCUACACACGUGCUACAAUGGCGGUGACAGAGGGAUGCAAAGGGGCGACCCUUCGCAAAUCUCAAAAACCCGUCUCAGUUCGGAUUGGGGUCUGCAACUCGACCCCAUGAAGUUGGAAUCGCUAGUAAUCGCAGAUCAGCACGCUGCGGUGAAUACGU
rnacentral:rRNA from 1 species